UUCUUAAAAGCAGAGAGCCUUUCCCACUUGUGGCGAGAGAGGGAAGAUGGCAGAAGGGUGGUGAGAGAGUCAACAUCGCUGACUUUCAAGGUGGAGGAAGAGGCUGGCGUCACGGGGAGCAGGUGGCCCUGAGAAGCUGGGAAAGAUAUGGCAGACGUGAGGCAAUGUCAGAUACUGGGUCCUGGCUUCUUCCUCUGACAGCUGCUCCUUGUCUCCGGGACAGUCGUGCUGGGACCCCUGCUGAGGCUGCCAUGCUGUGAGGAACCCCAAGCUGACUUUAGGAAGAUGUGAGUGGGAUGGAGGAGGGGGAAGCCCAGCCAUCAUCCCCUUCUCUAGCCCUUCCUGUCCUCCCAGCUGAGGCUGACUGUGAGCAGAAAUGAACUUUCCCUGCUACAAUCCCAUCCAGAUCCCUGACCCUCAGAAUCAUGAACUAUAAUAAUUCCCUUUGACUGGGGCAUGGUUUGUUAUCCAGUUGAAGGCAAUCAGAACACUGAUAUAUAACAGUUGAUUAUUUUGUUCUAUGUCUAUAUGUGAUAAUCAUACACACAUUCAUCCUGCUUUCUGGUUUUUCUAGUCAUUCUUGAGGAAAAGAAAUGCUGUUCAUGACUU